rnacentral:misc_RNA from 1 species
UACGUAGGUGGCAAGCGUUGUCCGGAAUUAUUGGGCGUAAAGCGCGCGCAGGCGGUCCAUUAAGUCCGAUGUGGAAGCCUACGGCUCAACCGUGGAGGGUCAUUAGAAACUGGGGGACAUGAGUGCAGAAGAGGAAAGUGGAAUUCCAGGUGUAGCGGUGAAAUGCGUAGAGAUGUGGAGGAACACCAGUGGCGAAGGCGACUUUCUGGUCUGUAACUGACGCUGAGGCGCGAAAGCGUGGGUAGCAAACGGG